GAACAUGCAUCCUUCUUUCUUCUUUUACUUCUUCUAUUUUAUUCUUUUCUUUAUUCUUUCAUUUGUGCUCCCUGUUGCCCGAAUAAGAGAUAGAAGCAGGCGAGAGAUAGAGAGCUGAGUGAAAUUGAGAGAGAAACAGAGCCAGAGAGAAGGAGAAUGGGAGAGAGAGUAGUGUAGUCGGGGAGAUUGUGAGUGAGACAGAGAGAUGAAAGAGAAAGAGAGAGGAAGAAUUGAGAGAGAGAUAGAGAAAAAGAGAGUGAGAGAACAGAGAAACCGAGACAUGAGAGAUCGGGAGAGAGAGGGAUAUGGGAGAUCAGGAGAGGGAGAGCCCUGAAGGGAGAGCUCCGGGAGACCCGUGAAAGAGAACCCGCCGAACCCAGGGGAGACCGAAGGUCCGACCUUCUGGCGGCUCAUGGUGGGCGACGUUCGUGACUCCCAGUGAACCCAGGGAACGCCGGCGACAACUACCAGUAGAGCUAGGCCGAUUUCCGGCCAAUGGUAGAGGACCCGUGCGAUCCAUGAUCGGGAGACCCGUGCGACCUGUGUAACCCACGAACCCGAAACCCAUCCAGCCCAACCCGGAAGUCCAAAACUCGUAGCCCAUAAACCGUGACCCAGCAGGAACCCACGAACCCGUCAAACCCAGUUGAAACCCGAACCGUGAAGACCACCGACCCAGAAGCCCAUUCCAGCUGCGAUUCAGACCAGACCCGUAGUAGACCCGUGAACCUCGGCCCAACCCAGACGAUCCAGCUGAACCCGUGAACCCCGGCCCAACCCGUGACCCGUGAGCCCAGUUCAGCAAGCAGUAGCUGAGCCCAGUCCAGCCCAUCCCAGCAAGCAAGCCCAACCCAGUCGGCCCACGAACCAAUUUCAGUCCAGACCCGCUGAGCCUGACCCAGCAGUGAUCCAACCAUGACCUGAACCCGGAGACCCGACCCGCAGGUGACCCGUCUCCGGCAGAGUCUUCCGGCGACUUUUCCGGUGACCUUUCCGGCGACUUCCCGUGACCAAACUCACCGUUUUCACUAGAUUUUCUAGUAAAAUCCUUAAUGUGAUGAACUGAGAGAAUGUACGAAAAGAUACCCAUGUUGCAGGUACGAAAGUGUAUAAAGCUCAAGGAUAGGAGUUUGUUAACAUUACAGGAAUUAGAACUAUUCGAUAAUGUAGUUGAUGAUUGUAGUGAAUUCUUGUAUCAAUUGAAAUGUAAUACUUUAAUUACGUUUAUCACUCAAUAAAGCUCUGAUGUGUUAUUUAAUUCAAGCCUGUUGGAUAAAUUAUAUCUUCCGCUGCGAGAGUUUAUCUCUGAUGUAGUAACGUCACGUGGGAAUAGGCAAGAGGUAGAGGCCCCUUUCAAGAGUCUUGAUGGCUUUCUGAUAUGAAAUUAUUAGAUUUGGUAAAUGAUGUCAUUUACGUUCAUA